ACAUUCAAAUUUCAGACUAACAAUAAGUUGCAACAAUGAAAAUAAUAUAUGUAUUCUUAUUAGUGGCUGUUGUUGCAGUUGCUAUGAGUCCUGGUAUCAUGGCAGAAACAAUAGCUGAUAAACCGGGACAGGCUAAGAAAAUCGGCAUCUUUGAUCAAAUAGAUAAACUAUGGGGCAGUUUCAUGAAACUGUUUGAAGGCUAAAUACAUUAUAAUUACAUACUAUCUAUGGCACACAAAUAUAGAAGAUUUUGUAAUUUAAGAAAUAUUCUACAAUAAUAUUAUUUGACUUUGUAAAAUAUUAUAUAUUAACUUUUAAAAAUAAAAAUAAAGGUAAUAUAUAAUCUAAUUAUGUUUUAUUCUCAUGUAUGUUACAACAUAUCGUGAAUUAUUACAAUACAAAAAUAAAUAUUAAUGCACGUA